UACAUGUGGGGCAAGCGUUGUUCGGAAUUACUGGGCAUAAAGGGUGCGUAGGCGGCUUGUUAGGUCACUGGUGAAAGUUUUCGGCCCAACCGGAAAAUUGCCUGUGAUACCGGCGAGCUUGAGUGCGUGAGGGGUGGGGGGAACGAGCAGUGUAGCGGUGAAAUGCGCAGAUAUCAGGAAGAACACCGGUGGCGAAGGUGGGUCUCUGGGCCGAUACUGACGCUGAGGAGCGAAAGCGUGGGGAGCGAACAGG
rnacentral:rRNA from 1 species